UAUUAUUAUUCAUCUGAGGGUGCAGCCGCCACAACCUUUGCUCCGGCGCUCCUCUCCUUCCCCCCGGCCGCCGCCGCUAGCAGUACAGUCCCUCCUGCCCGCAAGCUCUGGUCACCAAAGGGGGAUUCAGAAUUUUUUACAGUGCUCACAACCGUCGUCACGAGGCUCCUUGCCAUGGCUAUCAUCUCCUCCUGCCAGGUGGAGCGACUACGAGCGCCUUCUCGCCGCCCGCCCCUUCCCCAGCGGAGGAAGCAGUUGGGGCCCGGCCGCUGCGGCCGCUCCCUAGAUGCGGCUUCCUCUGCCUCUCUGCGUCUCUCCUUCUUUCAUCUGUAUGUAUAUUAUCUCGAUCCCUUUUAUUCCAGUAGAUCUACUGCCUUUCGUAACCCUGGCUGAAACGCUGCGGACUGCAACCAGUCUGUUAAAAAGAACAAAAACGGGAAAGACCUUGAGUGGAUCCCCGGACAAAGCACUUUGGGUUCGGCGAGAAGGAUGCACGGGAGCGCUGGCUCCGGAAUUCGAGUGAUCGCCAGCGCCCAAGGGCGCCCGCCCAGCGCACCUCUGAGGUAUUCAGACUGAAUUGUAUGUAUCUUUUUGGUAUGCUUGAGCAUUGUCAUUGUUGGGGAGGAGUUGGGUUUGUUUUUCUGGGAAAGGGAGCUGAAUUGCGGGGGGUCAGAUAGACUUAACUUGGCUUUCCUGCUCCCCUGCCUCACCUUGUGGAGAUCCGGGUGUUGGAGGGCAGACUGCGGACCAGAAGGCUUAGAAAACAGUAGAAGCCAGAGAUGUUGUCUGGGUGGCUGAGUGAGGGAGAGGGGAGAAGGGACGGGCCAGCUCGAGGGGACUGUGAAAAGAAGCGGGGUGUUGAACCCUUCUUCGAGUUCACAGGAUGAGUUUUGCCGGGGACGAGAAUAUGGGAGACUGUCACAGGAGUGCUGAGAAACUGAUAAAAAUGUGCUCUGUCCAUGCACACACACGGGAGGCGUUUGGAUUUGUGUGUAAACAGAGUGGAGAGGUGGAGGAGGCACAGAGGGAGGGGGCUUCAAAUAAUGUCUUAUUAUCCCUUUGGCGUUGGGGACUCUCAUCCUCCGGCCCUCUCCCUUUUUGGACCCAGGGAGACAGCCGCAUUAGACACGAAUGACCUUUCAAAUCUACGCCCACCACUUACCUGGUAAAGCCGGUUGACAGUUUGGGGUGGGGUGGGAUAGGGAGAGUGGUAGGGGUGUUUCGAAGACGUAUAUUCUCUCCCCGCUCCCUCUCUCCCCCCACUCCGUCUCCUCCUCCCUUGCCCCCCCCCCCCGCCACUCUUUCUCUUCCUCCCUCCCACCUCCCUCCCUCCCUCCCUCCUCCCUGCUGCAUUUUGCAUGAGCUAUCUAGGUCAUUAGCAUUUUAGCGUAUGCAAGACUUGACAAAGCUGAUGAGGGGCCAGAUGGGCCUCGCUCUUAUGGGUUUUUUUUCUUUUCUUUUCUUUUUCCUUUCUUUCUUUCUUUCUUUUUUCUUAUUUUCCUUUCUUCCCUCCACCACUUGGGACCUGAGAGAGAGGACUGCGGCCGGCGAGUUCCGGAAGGCGGAUACCCCAGACCCCGGCCGCGGACCGCGGCAGCUCGCCCUGCGGCACGCCCGGCCAGGCUGUGCCUGGACUCGGCCGACUAGGAAAAAGCCUGGACCCGAAAGGAUGGGGGAGAACAAAGAGCCUUUGGAAGACGGCGCUGUUAUCUCAUUGUCUGUGUGAUUGGGGAGCUGCGGUAGGGAGGAUGCUGUGGUCCUUUCCUCCCUGCACUCCCCCACCCCCAGCCCUUUCCCCGCUGUCAGUGCGCACGCACUCGCGCCGUUUUUACUUAUUUUUCCCUGUUUCCUCAUUCCAUCUUCUCCCCAGUCCCCUUUCUUUCUUCCGCCUUUCCUUCCUUCCUCCUUGCCUUCCUCAGGAGAAAGGCCUCUCUCUCCGUGUUCACAGCGGACCUUGAUUUAAAUGUCCAUACAAUUAAGGCACGCGGUGAAUGCCAAGAAUGGGGCUGGCUGAGCACCGUCGGUCUGCGAGGUCCCGCCAAGGAAGGAGCCACAGAGCCAAGGCGCCCUCCGCAGAGCUCAGCGCUGCGGCUUGGGACGGGAGGGGUCGCGGGCUCCAGGGGGCAGAAGCCCUUGGCGUGGGGAGGUGUGUGGUUCGUGACAGACAGGGGCUUAGAGAUGCGAAACCGAAGCUGAUUCUGUGACAGAACUGCAGAUCCCGGCAAGCACCGAAGCGGGGGGAGGGGAUGCCUGUGAGCGCAUUGCGGAGUGCUUCUCUGUGCAUAUUUUUCUCUAGGCUUGGGGUGCAUUGUACGCGGGUGGACACCUUUCUCCUUGGCUGUGUUUUUGUUCUGGGCUUAGCUUUUGGUUUGCUCUUAAAAAAAAUAACCUGGCAUCCAGAAGACAGGCAGGCUGUGCCAGGGCUUGGACUGCGGGUAUAUUGUGUUCUGCGUGAGGUUUGGGGGGAGGGAGGUAGCCAGUUGGAAGGGAGGAGGAGGAUGUUUGUCAUCCUUUGCUGUAGAGCUGUGGGCACCUGACAAGCUUGAAGAAGUCAUUGGGAUGUACGGGGAAGCAGGAACAAAUUCCUGGCGGGGUCACAGGCUCCAUCAGGACUGAAAGCGUGGCCAGGGCUCUUGGGAGCAUCUCACUUCCUCCUUGUGGCUGUAAUUGCAGUUUUAGGCAGAGAUCCAAGAGAUGCAGAGGAAGGGAGAGGCUCGGUAACCUAUAUGUACGUUCCCAAGGGGGGUGGUGCAUUCCUUUAAAAAUCCUAACAGAAGGAAAAACAGAAUGUGUACAAGUGAGGGUUUGAGGAAAGAAUGUUUUGAAAGAAAGCAUCAGGGAAUGCAGAGGGCCAGCCCUCCCUCAUCCUGAAGAAGCUGCUUCCCAAAUGGGGCCUUCCCAUCACUAGACCUAGAGCAGCAGCUGGUCCUGAAGACCCCCUUCACAGGGCACAAUGACAGAUCCCAUCUCCUGCUCAGUAUUAACCCCCAAGCUGCAGUGGAUGGUGGCAAAACUGAAACUCGUUAAUUUUCUGGUGGAGAAAAUGGAGGUGGGGCAGGUCCCUACAGAGAAAGGAGGCCGAGAGCUGCUGGAUCUUCCUACCCAGGAAGCCUGCUGCAUCCCUUUCCCCAACCUUAGCAGAGGCCUGUUUUUGCAAGGCUGAGACCAUAAGGAUGCUUAGGAUUUUAGUUUGUUUCCUUGCACAGUAAUCAAGGCCUAAAAGAGUCUCAGUUGUAGCUUACUGAGAGACUCCUCUCCAAAGCCUCAGUCUAGCCCACUGGAUAAAUUAGUAUCAAAGAUACCCUAGUCUCAUUUCCUCCCAAAUGUUUAUUGAGUGCCUACUGUGUGUCAAUCAUUGUGUAAUUAUUAUGUUUUAUGUUCUUUCUUUGCCCUCCUAAGGGGGCCUCUGGAGUCAGGUGAGGUGAAGUGUGCUGUACCCCAUCUAGACAUUCCCAGAACCUUCUCUGGGUCUGCAGAAAUGUGCUGCAAACUGCUCACCCCUGCAGAAUAGGCUGCAGUUAACAUCCUGCAAACUGUUAGGGGCGGUGCUCUUCCUCCAGCCCCAGAAGGUGAGCUUAGCUGGAGGACAGGAGAGGGAGCAGCUUCCCCGGCUCCUUGAGCCUUAGCCAGGGUUGUCCUAAGGGUCACUGACAGUCGCCGCCUUUAAAAUAGACCUCCCUUCGAAUGGUGCCUUUUUGGGGUGUAAAUCCCCUAGUCUCUCCCCUUCCCUCCUCCCUGAGAGGCUGCUCUUAUGUUUCUGCCAGGGAUGGGUUAAGCCCCUGAUGACCAACCCCUUGCCCUUCAGUUGUCCACAUUAGUGAGCCUUGUCUCCAUAAUUGCUUCCCCAUAACUCCAUCAGAUAUAGCUACACCCUUCGCUGAUGUGCCUGCCCACGUAAUGCCCCUCGUAGAUGGAAACCUAACACACUUCUCCCUGAGAGCUUAAACCGCAGGCACCAUGGUCAAGGUCUACCAGGUUCCUGCUGCCCAUAAUCUACAAUGGGAGGGGGGUGCUUUUUUAUGGCUUAUGUAAACUCUAGUUUCUGAAAGCUUUCAUGUGUAUGGGGAUUGUCCUGUGUGCACCAGGUCUCAUUACACAGUGUGUUUUUCUGUGGGGCUUUAAUGGCCGAAAAUGGCAGAGAUGCAUGUACACUCUGCCCACUGUGUCAUUUCAAGGCCCCCUUUGUGUUCACCGAAUAGAGGUGUUGGAGCAAAGGUCAGUCCUGGCUCCUUCCCUCCCCCUAUACUUGGGGCCUGUUGAUGCCCAGCAAUAUUUAUGUAAGAGACUUGAAGAUUUCUGCUUUUUCAAGGCAUUUUUUUAACUCUCAACAUCAUCUUCUUCCCUGCCUAUCUAUUUGAGUCCCUCUAAUUACAUCCUACCAUUUCAAUGAAGGGGGGGGAACAUAUGAUUUUUUAAAAUGUAGAUGAUGUUUGAGGCAGUUUGCUGAGAAUACGCUAAGAAAGCCCCUGUUGGUUCACCCACACUACCAUCAUUAUGGUCCUCAUGAGGAUGGGAGCUCAUGUUUCUCGAGGUGAAUAUGCCAGAUACUUUAAGAUGGAUUUAGUGAUGUAUCAAAGUAAAAAAAAAAAAAAGGUAAUAUUCUUCUUUCCCCUGCCAGAGACAGCCCAGGCCCAGGUCUCUGUUUAAGCAGAAAGGAAAUUGAGCAAAAGCAAAGGUAAAUUCCUCUAUCACUUCUGUCACCAAAGGGGUGGAAAUGGGGGACAGUGACUGUGGACGCAUGAGGAGGCUUAGCCAGAGAAAUAUUUGGGGAAGGGGUAAUUUCUCAGCAGGAAAAAGCUCAUAUAUACACAUGCAUAGCACACAACCCUAUCUGUUUGCAUAACCAUAUCCGUUGCUAGUAUUUAUAGAAAAGCAUUUACCCACACACACGCACGCACAGAUCCAUACAUCUAUACUGUCUCCACGGGGAAAUAAUUUUUCUAUUUCCCUCUGCUGAACUUACAUAACACCCCCACCCCUUGUUCUAACCUGAGAAUGGAGUUCUCUGGGGGCAGCUGCAAAGCAUUCUCCCUAGGACAGAUGGAGCCUCCCUUCCUCCUCUCCUCUGUGGGUGGCUCUCGCCCCGUGAGUCAACGGGAGCUGAAGGUUGUGCUGCAGUCUGUGUGUUUGAGGCUUGGCUGGCUGAUUCAUGGUGAUGAGUGUGUCAACAAUAACAAUUAUAAGAAUUAUGGUACCUAAUAAAGAUUUUUUUUCUUCCAAAUCC